rnacentral:rRNA from 1 species
GACGAACGCUGGCGGCGUGCUUAACACAUGCAAGUCGAACGGAAAGGCCCUGCUUUUGUGGGGUGCUCGAGUGGCGAACGGGUGAGUAACACGUGAGUAACCUGCCCUUGACUUUGGGAUAACUUCAGGAAACUGGGGCUAAUACCGGAUAGGAGCUCCUGCUGCAUGGUGGGGGUUGGAAAGUUUCGGCGGUUGGGGAUGGACUCGCGGCUUAUCAGCUUGUUGGUGGGGUAGUGGCUUACCAAGGCUUUGACGGGUAGCCGGCCUGAGAGGGUUACCGGCCACAUUGGGACUGAGAUACGGCCCAGAAUCCUACGGGAGGCAGCAGUGGGGAAUAUUGCACAAUGGGCGGAAGCCUGAUGCAGCAACGCCGCGUGCGGGAUGACGGCCUUCGGGUUGUAAACCGCUUUCGCCUGUGACGAAGCGUGAGUGACGGUAAUGGGUAAAGAAGCACCGGCUAACUACGUG